rnacentral:lncRNA from 1 species
CUUUAAUUCACUUUAAUUCAAUUCAAAAACUAAAUAUUUACAAAAGCUUUAUAAACCUCUGUAAUAUACAGAGUAUGUAAACUAUAGAAAAAUUGCUCUUCAUAAUUACAUACAGACAUAAUAUGAAUGAGAAAAAACACUGUCAUUGCUAGACAUAGUAAAGAUGGCUGACAUCUUUGUCUGUCUAAAUAGCUGUAGGAGUGAUACUAUCUUUAUGGAGAGUAUCUGUGAGGAUGUGAACAGAUCUAUCAUCAUCCUGGUUAGUCUGUGGCUGAACGGUGUCUGUCUGUCUUUAUAACGUUACUGUCUGAACAAUCAACAUCAGUGUCUAUACCUGUGUCUGUAGGGCUGUCUCCAUGGGUUACCUCUGUGUCUGCCUUGGAGAGGAGAGUCUAUGUCUGUAUCUGUGUCUGUGUGACUGCUGUCUGUAGGGCUGUCUCCAUGGGGUGUGUCUGUAUUUGUGUCUGUUGAGUCGCUAUGUUUGAUGCAUGUGUCUGUUGGCAUAGUCUCUGUGGUGUUAGGGUCAGAAGGUAUUCUGUCUGUACUGUCAGUUUCCUCUGUUAUUGUAGUGUCUACAAAUACACUGCUUGUUGUUGUAUAGUCAUUAUGUGUGUGUUCAACAUCUGCUUGACCAGGGCUUGUGUCUGUACUGUCAGUGUCUUGGUCUGUGUGAGUAGCCUCUGUGAGGUUCUUGUCUGGAUUUGAGUGACUGGUGUCUCGGUCUCCUUUAAACACAUCAGAAUAUGUUUCAUGGCUAUCUGCAUUGAUGUGUCUGCUAUCCUUACAGUUAGCAUUUUUGUAGUUAGCUUCUGCAUUGAUAGAGUCACCACAUCCAGUCUCAGUCUCUGUUUCUCUCUUUUCUGUGACUCUAUGCUGUCUCUCUGUGUUUCUACUCUCUAUAGUGUUGGGGUGUCCUGUCUCUGUCUCUCCUCUCUCCAUGUCUCCCAGUCCUGUGUGUUGUCCCUCUGUCUCUCCUCUCUCCAUGUCUCCCAGUCCUGUGUGUUGUCCCUCUGUCUCUCCUCUCUCC